GCUAACUUUUAAAAAUCUGUGUUUCCUAAGACUCUCUAAAGACAAAUGCAACGAUGAAAAAUAUUAUAUUCAGCUAUGAUAUCAUCUCUAUUCACUUCUUUCUUUAGAUAAUUUGUGUUUGUGUGUAAAUUUAUAUAUGUGUGUAUUCCUAUAUUCCAGGGACAAAGCUGAAGCAACAUAUGUGAAGUUGGAAAACUAUCACUUAAAUAUUGUGGCAUGUUUACUCAGCAAGGUAUUUGUUAAAUUGUAUUUGGUAUGGGAUUAUUACUUAUGUAUUGGAUUCAAAACUAGAUGUGGGGUUUUGAAGUUUAAAGCUCUUCACAUAUUUAUCCGUAGAGUUCUCUAUUUAUUAAAUUAUAGGUGUCCAAUUUCGGUGUUUACUUGAAACUGAGAAUAUUUUUGGAUUUAAUUAUCCUCAUGUAGGGUAAGAAUUGGUAUGCAUAUAUCUCUCAUGAUCUUUUAUUGCUUAGAUGCCUCGAGUUAUAAUUCCAAGUUUGGGUGUUCAGGUUUGUACUGGUAAUCAGGCAAAUAUAUGUGUGUUUCAAGUUUACUAUGCAUCUGAGUUUAAGUUUCGACAAGUUUAGUAACAUCAAACUGUUAUGGUCUUUACCUUAACUUUAUGAAUAGUCUUCCGGUAAUACAAUUUCCUUCAUGUUUGUGUCGACUGAAAUUUGUUUUGGUGCUCUUCCUUGCAUGUUUUUACACUGCUAUCGUUCCUGGCUGGACUAAAUUUUUCUUACCGCAUCUAUCUUCUAGGUCAAGUUUCUCCUAUGACUCUGACUCUUGGCUAACUAAACUGACAUCCAUCUAGGUACUAUCCGUAGCUGUUUGAGACCAUGUCAAUAUUGUGAAACUGAAUAAAUAAUCCAAAGUAGUUACGAAAUUGUUCAUUUCGUAUGUGUACUUUUGAUAUGUUUAAAUCCUAAACAUAGUUUAUGUGUUAUGUAUUAGUAUUUCACAUUCUACAUAAGUUCACAAAACAUGCCUUAAUCUUUUAUCAAACAAUGGUUUGUAUAGAUUUGAACUAACAAAUCUAUGUAGGCAAUAUGAAUUUCAGU